UACGUAGGGUGCGAGCGUUAAUCGGAAUUACUGGGCGUAAAGCGUGCGCAGGCGGUUCGUUAUGUCCGUUGUGAAAGCCCCGGGCUCAACCUGGGAAUGGCAAUGGAAACUGGCGGGCUAGAGUGUGGCAGAGGGGGGUGGAAUUCCGCGUGUAGCAGUGAAAUGCAUAGAGAUGCGGAGGAACACCAAUGGCGAAGGCAGCUCGCUGGGACGUGACUGACGCUGAGACGCGAAAGCGUGGGGAGCAAACAGG
rnacentral:rRNA from 1 species